UUGUUAUAACCGCAACUCUUCACCCCCUGUACACAAAUACCUACGUGGGGUAAGGCCCCUCCAUGGGGUUAAGCUCCCGACUUGUGGUAAACCCCCUCCCGUGGUGAGACGGGCGGUGUGUACAAAACCGGGAAACGUAUUCACCGCGACAUGCAUAUCCGCCCUUACUAGAAAUUCCAACUUCGUGUAGUCGAGUUGCAGACUAUAUCCAGACUACGAUACACUUUGCGGGAU
rnacentral:rRNA from 1 species